GGAGUUGUAGCUCAAUGGUAGAGUGUUUGCCUAGCACACAUGAGGCACUGAGUUUGAACCUCAGCACCA
rnacentral:tRNA from 1 species